CAGUAGCCGCGGUAAUACAGAGGGUGCGAGCGUUAAUCGGAUUUACUGGUCGUAAAGCGUGCGUAGGCGGCUUCUUAAGUCGGAUGUGAAAUCCCUGAGCUUAACUUAGGAAUUGCAUUCGAUACUGGGAAGCUAGAGUAUGGGAGAGGAUGGUAGAAUUCCAGGUGUAGCGGUGAAAUGCGUAGAGAUCUGGAGGAAUACCGAUGGCGAAGGCAGCCAUCUGGCCUAAUACUGACGCUCAUGCACGAAAGCGUGGGGAGCAAACAGGAUUAGAUACCCGCGUAGUCCCUGUCUCUUAUAC
rnacentral:rRNA from 1 species